AGCAGCCGCGGUAAUUCCAGCUCCAAUAGCGUAUAUUAAAGUUGUUGCAGUUAAAAAGCUCGUAGUUGAAUUUCGGGGCCAGUAGGUUGGUCGUGCCACUGGUAUGCACUGGCCUUACUGGUCCCCCCCUCUUGUAGAACCGUGAUGCCAUUAAUUUGGUGUUGCGGGGAAACAGGACUGUUACUUUGAAAAAAUUAGAGUGCUUAAAGCAGGCUCGCGCUUGAAUACAUUAGCAUGGAAUAACGGAAUAGGACGAUCGAACCUAUUUUGUUGGUUUCUAGGAUCGACGUAAUGAUUAAUAGGGAUAGUUGGGGGCAUUAGUAUUCAAUUGUCAGAGGUGAAAUUCUUGGAUUUAUUGAAGACUAACUACUGCGAAAGCAUUUGCCAAGGAUGUUUUCAUUAAUCAAGAACGAAAGUUAGGGGAUCGAAGACGAUCAGAUACCGUCGUAGUCUUAACCAUAAACUAUGCCGACUAGGGAUCGGAUGAAGUUAAUUUUUUAAUGACUCA
rnacentral:rRNA from 1 species